CCUCCCCACAAGUGUGGCACUCCCGAGUCCCCCAGAGCCUUGAUGCACCCCCAGGGCAGAGCAGGGAGAAACAUCAGAACUUAAGUCCUGAAAUGACUUCAUAGUCAUUAACAGAGUUUAUUUGGAAACAACAAGAUUAUUUCUGCUCUUGGGAGAAGAUAUGGGCUCACGACAAAAGCAAAACAUGAUUAUAGAAAAUACUUUGGAAGAAAGUAGUCAAAAUGUGCAAACUUCCAAUUACAAGAAAAUUAAGUACUGGGGAUGCAAUCAAUGUACAACAUGAUGUUAACAGAGGUAACGCUGCUGCAUGGUAUGUUUGAAAGUCGUUAAGAGAGAAGAUCUUCAGAGACCCCAUCACAAGGAGAAAGACAUUGUUUUCUUUUUUUUUGGUAUCUAUAUGAGAUGGUGGUCGUUAAUUAAACCUGUGGUAAUCAUUUCACAAUACAUGUAAGUCAGAUCAUUAUGCUGUACACGUUCCAGUUAUACAGUGUUGUAUGUCAAUUAUAGCUCAAUAAAACCGCAAAAAUAUAAAAUAAGAUAAAUAAAAAUUUUAAAAAAGAAAAACAUUGUUUCCUUUUUGCCUGGCUCAGCUCACGGGCUGUGGGGAGCUCGGUGUGAGGCACUUUGGUAUUUAGUGGAGAAACAGUUGUUUCACUCCGGCUUAUACCUAGUUAUUGAUUAUUAGCUCUAGGCAGGAUAGAGCAUGAGUCUCAAACUCUCUUUUAUCUUUACAGGAAAAUAUUUUGUCUAUAUUUCCUCAUUUUUAUUAUUUUUCAAUAAUAAACAUUACUGCUGUGGCAUUUAUUCAUUCAGCAAACAGUACUGAGGACUUCUUGGCACCCAGAGGCAUGGAUUAGGGUCAUUUGUGAGUAAAAGACACAAAAUAUCAGUGACUUACACAAGAUAGAAAUAUAUUUCUCUUUCUCAUAAAAGUCUGAGGACAGACAAUUCAGGACUGGUGUUGUGGCUCUACUCCGCAAAGUCCUCAGACACCCAGGACUAUCUAUCUUGCUGUGCAUGGCCUCAAGUCACACAAUCACUUCCUGGUCCAAUAUGGCUGCUCAGGUCCAGUCAUCACACAUACAUAUUCCAGCUAGCAGGAAGGAGGAAGACAAAGGACAUGACUAGCUGUCUUUUAUGGAAAGCUCCUGGAAGCUUUCAUGUGAUACUGCUAUUAACAUAUCAUUGGUCCAAACUUGGUCAAAAUAUGUUGCUUCAAGGGUGACUCAGAAAAGUAAUUUUUAUACUGAGUGGCCCUGUGCUCAACUAAAAUGUGGGAGCUCUAUAGAGAUAUAAAAAAGGAGACUGGUUUGGGGGGCUAACUAGCAAUCUCUGACAAACACAGUACUUUAGGGAUGUUUUAUUUAUGUCAAUUUAAUUCAAUAGACAUUUAUUGGGCAUCAGUGUGUGCCAGGCAUUGGCAAGAUGAGGUUUGGGGGUGCCCUCCUCACAGCCUUCAUCCUAUCAUGCCGCUCUCCCUCUGAAGAGGCCACCACUUCCUCAUCUCCUGAUCUGACUUGGUUUUGCAGACAGAUUUCUUUAAAAAAUAUCUCCCUUUAGCGAUGUUGCCUGAGGCUGAACUCUGAGGGUAAACAAUUCUGUUUUACCUACUUGAUACUUUGAUUCAUUAUGAGGAAUCACCUAGCUCCAAUUACCUCUAGGCCUUGAGUGUGAAUCAUCAAUCAAUAUUCAAUUUCUCAGACUCAGCAUCACAGACUCUUCAAGCUGGAAUGGUCCCAGAGAGCACUGAGACCAACGCCUCAUUAUGCACAAGUGGACACUUAAACCCCCAGUGGGGUGCAGAGGCUUGUCAGCACUCCCGGGUGUCUGGGGUUGGCGGCCCUCCCCAGCCCCCUCUGCCUCCCUCCACCAUGGGAAUGCCAGCACCCUGGCAGAGGUCUGUUACACAUCACCAGGCAAUGCCCAGGGAGGUUGUGACUGAUGCUUCAUCCUGUUGCUUAGUCCCCACGUGACUCGUCCCAAUUCUGCAGACACACAUUUCUGAGCCCUGCUUGAGGCGAAACUCAGGCUUGGAUUUGUGUUGUCUUGCUCCCUGUGCCUCUCCCCUUCCUCCUCUCAGCUUCUCCUCUUUCCUUCCUACCCCAUUCUCACUCCUCCAGCACUUGCCCACCUUUUUACCUGUCGCUGGGUGUAGGGAAAGGGGGCAGGUCUCCCGUGCACUUGGGCAGUCAGCGUGUCCUGGGUAGGCCAGGUGCAUAUAAUCUUUCACCCUGAUAGUGAACUUCUGAAGAGAUACAUGAUUGGGUGGGUGUGUGAAGAGUUCAGAUUAUUCCUCUACUAUGCCACUCUUACCUCUAUGCAAUGACCUUUCUUGAGGGAGGGAAUGGCUGAAGUUACAACCAGGGGGCUGGGGAUUGGCUGGGCCCUGGCACACAUGAGGAGGCUGUCAGAGGUACUCUUGGCCUCUCACCUGAGCCCUUCCAGGAGGCAGGGUGCCAACCCCUGGUCACAGCCUCCAGCCUUCAUGGAAUCAUGUGGAGCCCCAUGCCGGGCAGAGGGUGGACCCUGCUGGGAUCUGGAGGGGCCAGGCCCUCCUGAGAAGUUCCUCUCCUCCAGCUCCUGCAGCCCCUGUGCCCAGCCGCCGCCUGCCAUGGGCCUCGCUGCCUCCAGUGUCCCAAGGUCCUGGGUGGUGUCCUCCAGCGGGGCCCGCUCUGGGAAGCAGGCUGCAGAAGCGUGGCCUUUCCAGGUCCAGGGCACUCGGGAACCAUCUACCCUCCUGUCCUGAAUCUCUGGGCGUUGCAGCUGGGUGGCAAGAGUUUACUCCUCCUGUGUGUGAGUAACUGAGAUGUGUAAACAAGGUAGCGGAAAAAGUACAGAAAGAAAAAGAAUCUGGGACCAUCUUACCUCGAUGGAUACAAAAUGAGCUCCCUUCUGGCCCACCCUUGGGGAAAGUGAAGAUCAGAUGUCUCUUGAUCCAGGAAUCAUCUGAGUCAAGGUCCCAAUCGGCACAUGGCAGGGGGGUGGUCAGGGCCGUCAACACCCUGGUUUUGAACCAUCCUUUAAUGCACUGAGGUGGGUUAUGUUUAGUGUCAGGGAAGGAUUGUGUCCAUUCUGAUCCACAAUGAGAGUGGAAGCUUUGCCCGAUAUGAUAGAAGAUCUUGUUUUUCACAUGCUUUGUUGCUCUGCGUGUGUGUCUCCAGCGCAUUUCAGAAUUCCUCACAGAGAGAAGCAAAUAUUCAAUCCUGAAAAAGAAAGGUGCUUCCCAGAAGUUCUGAUGUCAUUGCAUCUGAAGUUAGUGCUGUCCUUAUGACGUGAAGAAAAAGAAUGGUUAUUAUUUGUGUUAGAUACAGACUGGUGGGUGGCCUAUUUCUUUGCAAGUCAUCCCAAAUGGAAGGGCUAACUGCUUCUCUGUCAAGCUAUUUUCCUUGAAUUCAUUUCCAAAAACUUGCUCCUAGAGUUCCCCAUCAGAAAAAGAACACACCAUAUUAUUUCAUAGAAGGGCAAGCAUGGACCGAGAAUUCCUGGUCCCCUAAACCUUGUCUACCACACUCUUCCCCGUCCCUGGCCACGUGCCUGCCAGGGUGGUGCACAGUGGUCCAUGCUCACCAUCACAGGAAGGCUGGGGCAGGGGAGGGCAUUCUCCCUUCCAGACCCCAUGCUCGCUUACAGGUCUCUGAUAGGGCGCAGAUGAAAGAGGGAGGAAUUGUGGUCCGAGAUCCCCCCUCCCCAACACACAGGUCCCAAUCUAGUGCAUUUUGGGUGUGGCUAUGAGUGACAUCAUAACUAUGUUUACAAAAGUGGCCCCUGGUCACCAACAGACAGAGCCCAGGGAGGCCCUUGAGAUGGGGGUCCAUUUGGCCACCCGUGAGAUCUGCCCUUAAGGCCACACACACACGGCUUCCGUGGGACCCACUGAAGCCUGUUCUCCCACUUUUUCUUCUUCUGUCCUCCACUUCCUAUAAGAGACUCCAUGUUUAAGGCUUCACAAGAACUGGCCCUCUUAUUGCCACAAGUGGAAGAGAUGUUAUUUGCCAGAAGCUCUCUUAGGGAAAGCACAGUUAUGCAUGUGGAAGCACAUGUCCAUAAGCUGCUUGGCCCAAGAGUGAAAUCCCAAGGGUACAAUCAACUCCAGAAGCAGAUUUCAAAACUGAUAUAAGACCACAGGUACUUGUUUUGCUGCUGGUCUAUGGACCACAGUUUGAGUGGAGACUCUCUGGACCCCAAUUCAAACCACUCAACUCUCGGCACAGAGCCCUCACCUGAGGGAGCCACAAGGCCGGGAGGCUGGGGAACCAUGCAAAGCUGGACUGGCAGGAACCUGGACGCCCCACAGGAGCAGCCUCAGGCAGCAGCAGCGCCCUCUGUGGAAUCUAUCUUAAGAAAAUAAUACACGAGGCAGCAGGAUGUAUACACCAGAACAUGCUGGGCUAUUUCUGCUAUGUCUCGCUUGGAAGCGACGAGUCAUGGAACGAAGCUAGCCCCCUUUGACAAGCUGCGGCUCGUGGUGUGAGGUGGCCUGCCGAGCGACCGCUAGAAGUAUGUACGCAAAGAUUCUGAAAAUCCUGGGGAACAUGAACAUGAUACAGUAUCACAUAAAAAAGCAGAUGAGUAAACCGUAAAAUUGACAUGGUCCCAGUUUCAUUUUUUAAAAUGAG
rnacentral:lncRNA from 1 species